rnacentral:lncRNA from 1 species
UUCCGGGCGCACGAAGCUCCCACUGCGCCUGCGCGACCCGUUGGCGGAAGUCACGGGGCGCGUGCUGCGCCUGCGCAGAGCCCGAGCGCGCAAGCCCGUCAGCUUCCGGCGGCUCUUUCUUCCACUGCCUCGGUCCCUCGGGGCGCCUGUGCAGCCUACGCUUUCCG